rnacentral:rRNA from 1 species
UGGCGACCGGCGCACGGGUGAGUAACACGUAUGCAACCUGCCUGUAAGCGGGGAAGUAACCCGUUGAAAGACGGACUAAUACCGCAUAAUACUAAAUUACUGCAUGGUAAUUAUUUAACAUUUAUGGCUUACAGAUGGGCAUGCGCAUGAUUAGCUAGUUGGAGAGGUAACGGCUCCCCAAGGCAACGAUCAUUAGGGGUUCUGAGAGGAAGGUCCCCACACUGGUACUGAGACACGGACCAGACUCCUACGGGAGGCAGCAGUGAGGAAUAUUGGUCAAUGGACGAGAGUCUGAACCAGCCAAGUCGCGUGCAGGAAGAAUGUCCUAAUGGAUUGUAAACUGCUUUUGCAGGGGAAUAAAGUGCAUCACGUGUGAUGUUUUGUAUGUACUCUGCGAAUAAGGAUCGGCUAACUCCGUGCCAGCAGCAGC